GACGAACGCUGGCGGCGUGCCUAAUACAUGCAAGUGGAACGCAUUGGUAACACCGGACUUGCUCCAGUGUUACUAAUGAGUCGCGAACGGGUGAGUAACGCGUAGGUAACCUGCCUGAUAGCGGGGGAUAACUAUUGGAAACGAUAGCUAAUACCGCAUAAGAGGAGUUAACUCAUGUUAACUGUUUAAAAGAAGCAACGGCUUCACUAUCAGAUGGACCUGCGUUGUAUUAGCUAGUAGGUAGGGUAACGGCCUACCUAGGCACCGAUACAUAGCCGACCUGAGAGGGUGAACGGCCACACUGGGACUGAGACACGGCCCAGACUCCUACGGGAGGCAGCAGUAGGGAAUCUUCGGCAAUGGACGCAAGUCUGACCGAGCAACGCCGCGUGAGUGAAGACGGUUUUCGGAUCGUAAAGCUCUGUUGUAGGGGAAGAACGUGUGUAAGAGUGGAAAGCUACACAGUGACGUACCCUACCAGAAAGG
rnacentral:rRNA from 1 species